UCGACUUUUUGGUCCACUUUCAGGAAGGUCUUCUCAGGGUUCAACCUCUCCUACUGUCACCUUCCUCCUAUUAGGGAAAAAAGUAAUUUCUGCAGCUUCAGUCUCUGGAGAAGUUGAUCAUCGCAGUUCAUUUCAUAUUCAUAGAAGAAUCAACCUCAUCAUGUUGGCUCCAAUAAAAUAGAUGAUUGAUUCUUGCCAAAUAAAGAUGAACAAAUGACUGUUUUGACUCCAGAAAUUAAACAAAAUUUCAGAGCUGAACUAGAUAAAACAAGCAGAUAAAUGGCUUUAAGAAGAGACCUAACAAUCGUGUGGCUCAAAGAGCAAAACGUUUAUUCCUUUCUUAUGUAACAACUCCAAGAUCAGCAUUUCAGGCCAGCAGGCAACUCUGAUCCUUGUGGCCAUUCAGGAACCCAGGCUGCUGGCAGCUCUGCCAUCUUCCAGAAGAAGUGUCCAAGGUCACAAUUCCUGGAGGAAUGGGGAAAGAGCAGAAGUUCAAGGCCAGGGAGUGCCUCUUAAGCAACUGAGGCAGACGUUGUCUGCUUCACUUCUGCUCACGUUCCAUUGGCAAGAGUCAAGAUACAUGAGCAUCACUUGCUGCAAGAGCCCUGGGGGCUGCAGUCCUGACUGGGCAGUCACAUGCCAGCUACAGUGAUAUUACUCUGGAAGAAGGGAGAAGACAUGCAAAAUCAUCUGGCCUAGAGUGAGUGGAACCUAAAGCUAAUUCCCCAGGUGCACCUGGGACAAAUGACAACCUAUGGAGCCCUGUGCAAACUGCUCGAGCUUUGGAAGGACAAGUGGCUGUAAAAGUCAAGCAGAAAUUUUAAAAUGUUGAGGAAGACAGAGGGAACAUUACAAUUUUGUUGAAAGUUUAAGAAUAUACUUUUGUACGUAGUCAUGCUUGAAAUUGUCCUUAUGCUAUGUUUUUUGUUUUGUUUUGUUUGCUUAAGGCGGAGAAUUUUAUAUGCAUUGUAAGUUGCAUAAUUUACUCUUUAAAUGUAUUUGUUCUGUUGGUGUACGUACAUUUAAAUCGUUGGAAACCUCAAAGAAUGAGCAUUUCCCAGGUAUCAGGUCUGAUGUGUGAUAUGCCUGUAACAGUUGGUAUAGAAUAAUAUUUAACCCUUCUCAAGGAUUUGCUGUGUGCUAGGACUCUUUCAGUACUUUAUAUCCUUGAUUCAUUUAAUCCUCAAAUCAUUUAUGAGGAAGAUACUCUUAUGAUCCCCAUUUUAUAGAUAAGGAAGCAUGCAGAAAGAGGUUAAGUAACUUGCCGUGGGUCACACAGCUGCUAUCAGAGACAGGAUCCGAACCCAGGCAAUCUGGCUCCAGAGGCUACAUCCUGAUCAUUAUUUCUGGUUAUCUGAUUCUGACUAAGUCCCAGGGGAAUCUCAGCCAAGGUGGGCCAGGCUUGAAAGGAGCAGCAGACAGAGGUCCCAGAGGGCAACAGCUGCGGCCCUGGCUUUGCAGUGGUUUGACUCACAGCAUGCACUGACCAUGCCUCAUAGCAUCUCUUGAUAAAUUGAUGCUGCUCUUUAUAUAUUUCGUCUCCCCAGCUGCAAGUCACGGUUGCUCAUCUGUCAGUCACAUUACUAAUAUGUUCAUAAACAUCAGCCUCCGUUACUGUCCUGAGUCUAAUCAGGCCUCCAUCUCUCCUUGAUAACAAUGCAUUGUAGCAAUAGAAGCCCUGGGUCUAAAUUCUGUUUCCCCAACUCAUCACCUGUGUGACUCUGGCCAAGUGACCUUACCCCCUAGAGCCAUGGUAUUGACACCUGCAGCCUGAAGGUAGUACUUAGAGAUAGGAUUAUGAAGGUUUACAGUAAUAAGUGUAAAGCAUACCGCCAAUUCCCUUUCCCCCAGUGUCUAACAUUGGAACUCUAUUAAUCCUUUAUUUCUGAACUGGGUUUGCUUCUUGCCACAUAAGCAUGUUGGAAACACACAGAAAACAGCAAUUUAAUUUUACUUGCAACAUUAUUUCUUAAUGUUGAAAUAUUAAUAUUUUUUGAGAAUCAUCACUUUUCAGCAAAGACAUUCCAUGAGGAUGCUAGAGUCUCUUCAUGAAGGGUACCAGGAAGCUCUGUCAAAAAUCUCUCUUGUACAAACUGAUUUUUUUAAAACUAUAGUAAAAUAUACAUAACACAAAAUUGAACAACUUAGCCAUUUUUAAGUGUAUGGUUCAAUAGUGUUAAAUAUAUUCUCUUUGUCGUGCAGCUAACCUCUAGAACUCUUUUUAUCUUGAAAAACUGAAACUCUGUACCCACGAAACAUCAACUUCCCAGACUUCCCAUUCUCCUCUCCCCAGGCCCUGGCAGUCCCCAUUCUACUUUCUGCCUGCGUGAAUUUGACUACUCUAAGUGCUUCGAUGUAAGUAGAAUC